GUUUAUUAUCAUUAUUAGUAUUAAUGCAGCACUUCCUCCAGUUAAGACUGAACAAAAUUGCCGAAAAAUUGUGCAACAUCUUAAAAUGUGAAAUAAUGGCCGAGUAUUAUUGGAAGUUUUAGGACUCCGUCUACACUGUGAGUCUCAAUCAUGCCAUUUUGUUUAAUUACUCUACAGGGAGCGAAACUCCAGGCUCUAAAGAAACGCCAUGGAGCGGAGGAGAGGCCUGAGCAGCAGAUACGGUUUGAGAAAUAGGGAGAGAAAAAACUUACGCUGAGGAAAUGCAUCAGCUCCAAGGACUUGCAGAAAUCAAAGAGCACAUUGUAACUGCUUUUCCUCUAAAUUUUAGAGCUUUCUGAGAUGUUAUACAGAACUGCAUUCUGUUCCACACAUUCCUCACAGAACAAAAUCCGUUCUGCUCCUUCCUGAUCAAACCACGGGUCACCAAUCCGGGCAAACUAUCUGCAAUCACUGCCUUCAGCAUCACUUUAAGAGAGAAAUCAGUGGAAUUCCAGGAGCGUUGUGAGUCUCACCUGUGGAGGACACCACUACUACCCUCCGGACACGGACGGAGAGCAAGGUGGUCGUGUCUCAGACAGAAACCUGGUGAAGGUUAACAUAUUAACCUUCUGGGUUUUACCAGAAUUGUUUACCAUCAGAUUUCACAAGAAUUACAUUAACUUACGGAAAUAUUUGCUCCCGCCUGCGGUGACCCGAGUUAUUGCUGGUUGGAGUUUGGCUUCCUUAUUCGCUCAUCGUGUUCUGAAAAGCCGGCAAGCCAACAGGGCAGGAUAACUACGAAGUUAAGUCUUUAAAGAUACCGCACAAUAGUGGAAACAUGUUGCUUUAUUUACCAAGAUUCUGCAAUUUUUUAUUCAAUUCUACAAUUAUCACAGGUGCCAUACCGUUACCUGGGCUCAUAGUUAAUAUGAAAAGUGUCCCAUUAAUUAGCAAUCCAGUUCAAAUAUCCGUUUACAUACAAAUGUACAGAUUAACAGCAGAAUGUCUAUCAUCAGAUCAAAGUCGUUUCUGGAGAAAUACAUGACAAACUCGCUUUUUUUUAAUUGACUUGUCAAUUAGUUUAAACGCUGCUAUUUCUCACAGACAGUCACCUACGCUCUCCUCCUCUGUAACUGAGCUGUACACAUUCUCGAUUUCGACACUGGUCAAAAAUGGGCGCUGGUGAUUUAUUUUAAUUCUGUAUAUUGUGGAGCUGGGGAGACCAGCGAGGAAUAAUUUGAAUAGUGCAGUCAGAAGUGACGAAGUCGUGGAUGAGAAUUUCGGCUGCUGUGCAUGUGAGCUAUGGAUGGAGAUGGGCAACGUGUUGUUGUGUGAAAUAAGUGAACCCGGUCAGGGAAUCGAUGUCGGUUAGAAAGGAUAGCUGUUGCUGAAUAGUUUUGCUCAUUCUCCAGAUUUGGUUUGCGUACUUUAUAUUUUGACUUCAGGUUCUUUGACAGAAAUGUACUUUGAUUCUCAAUAACGUCUUGUCUGAAAAAAUGAAUAUUGCUCCGAAACAUCUCGAUGACGUGAUGAGCCGCUGUAUCAGAUGAGAGCAAUAUUAUUUUAUUAUAAAACAGAAUUAUUAUUAUUGUAAAGCAGACUGAACUUUCGAAGCUAGUUUACUGUCCAGAGAAUAUAGGAAUAUAUACAAAAACAUUCGCUGAAUAAAUAUGUGAGCAGAGCCUCAAUUUGGAUUACUUCCAACUUCAGGGAAAAGUUUUGGCUGAUAUCAGAAUGUGUGUUUGGUUAAAUGUUAGAUUCUAACCAGAUAAAUCCACAUAGGUUAUAUUUGAGUGCUUAGUCCGGCAAUCUUUCCUGCUGCUUGUCCAGCGAAGACGACCUUACAAUGGAGAAGUGUCCAAUGUGAUACCAGGAAGAACUCACUUUCCCUUUCCACAAAGUACUCCGCGCUGUCUGUUCAGCUCAGCUCACAGCUCCCUAUCAGAGACAGAGAGAGGGCGAGAGAGAGUGUGCGUUUGUCAGACUGUUCCUGAGUGUAUGUGUCACACAGAUUUGGACGUUUGGUGAAUCACAGAUUUCAGUAGCUCCGUCAAACGCUUCUCCUGUGAUUUUCUCCGUGUGGUUUAACCCCAGGUCUGCGGAGCCCCCGCCCCAUGGGACACACACUCAAGCCUCCGGGCUCUGAUCUUCACACGAGCUCCUCCUCAUCCUCGUCAUGGAGCCAUUGCUGCUGAUCUUCGGUGAGUAUUGCUUCUAACUCAAUGACACGGACGGCCCAACCAGAGAGAGAAUGGAAGGCAGAGAGGAAAAAGAGGCUUCUUGUUUGACCCUCAGAUGUCCUUUCUACCACACGCGUGGAAGGAGUAGAGAGUGGAGAGAAGGUAGAAAACUAUAAGGGGACAGUGAGGAGAGAAUGUAUAUUUCUGUGAUUCUUCGCCGCAUAAGCCUUUACGGUUCUUUAAUUUUAUACCUCAUAAACCUAUAUAACAGCUUUAAGAAUCAGAGUAAGAACACAGAAGGUUGAGGUGAUGAAGGUGGGAGUAAAGAAAGGCGUGAGGGCGGGGGAUAGGGAGGUUGGGAUCUGAAAGGCAGGGAACGAGGGAGAGGUUAAAGGGUGAGAAAGAAGGUAAACUAAUGGCGAAAGAGAGUGUGGUAGAGACAGGGGGGAGGGAAGCGAAGAGCUCGUGGAGAGUGAAGCCGUGAGGUCUCAGGGAGGUGGAUUGGGAUGGGGAAAAUAAUGGGAAGCAGGAGAAGGAGGCGUCGCAGAAAGGAUGCACGAUGGAGUAAAGGAAGGGGAGCAGGCGAGUGAGAGGGAGGGAAGGAGGGAGGAAUAUUGGGAAGGGAAGUCGAAUGGUGAGAGCAGAGGGAGUGGGGGGUAGAGGAAAAUAAAGGGGGAGAAACUCGGGUUGUUGUCACUGGUACAGAGAACGAUGAAUAGGUGUGGAGGUCUUUGCAAUGAUAAAUUAAUGUUGAUGCUUCCCCGAUUGAAGCUCUAUUGCUACGUAAAUGCAAGUUUUCAAACGCAAGCGGUUGUAGAUGGGAAACGGGAGAGGCGCAACCAGGAAAAAACGAGUAUAGCGACAAGGAGACACUGCGUGUUCUGCCUAUUAAAUGCAUAUUUCCCCGUUUCCGGACGGUCAACGAACCUUGACGUCUUCCAAGACUCGAAGGAGAAGCAGAAGCGCAAAAGAUCCUUGCACGAAAAAUAGAAGCGGGAGCCAAUGGGAAUGCCAGGCGGCGUCCGAUGCGAAAGGGGAGAGAGCCAACGUGUCGCGUCCUCGACCCGUCGUCAGAUCUGCUGCCGGAACAACUGAACGUCCCCAGAGACUUCUGCUUUUGCUCUCAGGAUUCCGGAGUCUGCAGUAAUUUGUGUUUUUUUCUUGCGCAGACAAUGCUGUUCAGCCCAAUAGUGUGUUUGCGAGUCUGUCAUAUUUCUGGAGAAAAAGACUGCGGCAUCUGCAGCUCAAAACCCCGAUUCUCAGGCACACACUGGGGGCCAGUCAAGCCCCCAGGAGUUAGUGGACACAAAGCAACGGGUUGUGCGACUGUCAGUGAUCCGGAGAUGAAAGAUCGAAGGAAAUCCAUUAUUUCCUGUUUGCAAUAUCCACAAAUUUUGGAUUAUAACGGACGGCAUAUCCGCUGUGUUUCUUUUGCAGGAUGAUUGGAAUCAGAAGCUCAAAUGACAAAAUUCAUGUAUUUUCUGUACCUAUUCUACCAAACAGACUACAUCCUAGCGUUAUUCAGUUCGUGUACGCACAAGGCUACCUACGGGGAUCCCCUGAUUAAAUUCAGAGAGGACCUUAAAA